GUGGAACCGGAAGAUUAAUUGUAAUUGG
rnacentral:piRNA from 1 species